GACGAACGCUGGCGGCGUGCUUAACACAUGCAAGUCGAACGAAGUGGCGAACGGGUGAGUAAUACGUGGGUAACCUGCCCUCCUUUUUGGGAUAAGCCUUGGAAACGGGGUCUAAUACCGAAUAAAGGCGGAUGGGCUCGCGGCCUAUCAGCUUGUUGGUGGGGUGAUGGCCUACCAAGGCGGUGACGGGGUGCCGGCCUGUGAGGGUGCUCGACCACAUUGGCAGUGAGAAACGGCGCAGACUUCUACGGGAGGUAGCAGGGGGGGAUAUUGCAGAAUGGGCGAAAGACUGAUGCGGAGAGGCAGCAUGGGGGAUGAAGGCUUUGGGGUUGUAAAGCUCGAUCGCUAGCGAACGGGUAGGUGGAGAAGAAGCGCCGGCGAACUUCGUGCCAGCAGCCGCGGUAAUAC
rnacentral:rRNA from 1 species